AGCACAGCACAGCACAGCACAGCACAAUCCAGGUGCAUGCUGUGUGCUCUCAUCUUGGAACCAAUGUAAUAACUGCACAAUGGUAUUUUCAAGUUAAUGCUUGACUUGCAAAGAAAGUUUGAAGAAAUCAUGUUUAGAAAUAUGAGAAAGUGAAAUAGAGCCAUGUACUGCUAGAGUCAUAUAGAAAGUGAAGGAAUUUAUUGGAAUGAUGGAAAAGCAUUAGUCCCGAGAGACAUAAUCAUAGGAUAAAGGGAAAGUGGAGUAAGGGAUACUCUAACUCAGAAAGGGGAAAAAAAACUUGAAGUUAUGAAAAGAGUUUUACACAACAUUUGAGAGUGGUUCCUAGAUAAUCAAGUAUAGAAUGCAUAAGGUUAUAUAUUAGUAAAACUAAGUCAAAACACUGGGACUCUUAGGAGAGUCGGUGUGUGCAAUGUGUAGAAGCAGAAACUAGCAGAACUACUGAGUUAAGGGUUAACUUGAUUCUUUCUGGUCACUGCCUGGCAGCUUUGCCCAUGUCCUUUAUCUUUAGAGCUUCACAAGAAAAUAAAGUAGCUGGCCUCAGAUCUCUGAAGUAUAUUAAGUCAAAAGCUAAAGUUUAAAUAAAGAUAAGUUUGUAUUUAUUAUUAUUUUGGCCACAGGCCUGGGAAUAGGGAAGCUUGAAAGUUUGGAGAACAAUUGUAAUUCUUGAUUCUUUGUGAUAUGUGGAUAUUCUUUUGAUUUGUUUUGGCAAUGAUUGUACAAUGUCUUUUUUUUUCUACCUGCUUUUGGAGUAUCAAUAAAAGACUGGAGCAAAAAGGGGUCUGCAACCCUAUAGGUGGAACAACAAUAUGAACUAACGAGUACCCCUGGAGCUCGUGUCUCUAGCUGCAUGUGUAGCAGAAGAGGGCCUAGUCGGCCAUCAGUGGACAGAGAGGCCCAUUGGACUUGCAAACUUUAUAUGCCUCAGUACAGGGGAAUGCCAGGGCCAAGAAGUGGGAGUGGGUGGGUAGGGGAGUUGGGAGGGGGUAUGGGGGACUUUUGUGUAGCAUUGGGAAUGUAAAUGAAGAAAAUAUCUAAUAAAAAAUUAAAAAAAAAGACUGGAGCAAAAGGUGAGGAGUGAGAGGAGUGUGGAGUGAGUGAGUGAGGUGUGUGUGUCUGAGAGAGUGUGUGAUGGUUUGUAUAUCCUUGGACCAGGGAGUGGCACCAUCUGGAGGUGUGGCCUUGUUGGAAUAGGUGUGACCUGGUUGGAAUGGGUGUGUCACUGUGGGUGUGGGUAUAA
rnacentral:lncRNA from 1 species